CUUCCAGUAGCACCUUAGAGAACAACUAAGUUUGUUAUUGGUAUGAGCUUUCAUGCGCAUGCUCACUUCUUCAGAUACAAAGUGUGCAUGUACACGAAAGCUCAUACCAAUAACAAACUUAGUUGGUCUCUAAGAUGCUACUGGAAG